rnacentral:pre_miRNA from 1 species
AGGAGGAACAACCACAGUGGCGGGGCCAGCUCUGGAGCCCUGGAUUCAGCUCCCGCAGUAACUCCGGAGCUCUCCGUCUGCAGGGCCUGGAGGCUCCGGGGCGGG